rnacentral:rRNA from 1 species
GUAGGAGAGCGUUCUAAGGGCGGUGAAGUCAGACCGGAAGGACUGGUGGAGCGCUUAGAAGUGAGAAUGCCGGUAUGAGUAGCGAAAGAAGGGUGAGAAUCCCUUCCACCGAAUAUCUAAGGUUUCCUGAGGAAGGCUCGUCCGCUCAGGGUUAGUCGGGACCUAAGCCGAGGCCGAUAGGCGUAGGCGAUGGACAACAGGUAGAGAUUCCUGUACCAGUGCUAAUUGUUUAACCGAUGGGGUGACACAGAAGGAUAGGGAAUCGCACGAAUGGAAAUGUGCGUCCAAGCAGUGAGUGUGAGAAGUAGGCAAAUCCGCUUCUCGCGAAGCAUGAGCUGUGAUGGGGAAGGAAAUUAAGUACGGAAGUUCCUGAUUUCACGCUGUCAAGAAAAGCCUCUAGGAAGAGUAGUACUGCCCGUACCGCAAACCGACACAGGUAGAUGAGGAGAGAAUCCUAAGGUGAGCGAGAGAACUCUCGUUAAGGAACUCGGCAAAAUGACCCCGUAACUUCGGGAGAAGGGGUGCUCUAUUAGGGUGCAAGCCCGAGAGAGCCGCAGUGAAUAGGCCCAGGCGACUGUUUAGCAAAAACACAGGUCUCUGCAAAACCGUAAGGUGACGUAUAGGGGCUGACGCCUGCCCGGUGCUGGAAGGUUAAGAGGAGUGCUUAGCUUCGGCGAAGGUACGAAUUGAAGCCCCAGUAAACGGCGGCCGUAACUAUAACGGUCCUAAGGUAGCGAAAUUCCUUGUCGGGUAAGUUCCGACCCGCACGAAAGGCGCAACGAUCUGGGCACUGUCUCAACGAGAGACUCGGUGAAAUUAUAGUACCUGUGAAGAUGCAGGUUACCCGCGACAGGACGGAAAGACCCCGUGGAGCUUUACUGCAACCUGAUAUGGAAUGUUUGUACCGCUUGUACAGGAUAGGUAGGAGCCGAAGAGACGUGUGCGCUAGCAUACGAGGAGGCA